rnacentral:lncRNA from 10 species
CCAAAGACCUGCUAGUUAAUGAGUUCUGCAAAAACUAGGUCUGUCUGUAAUCGAAAUGGGAGUACAAGGCUCACACGGUCCCUGAAUUAAUUCAGUCCUGUUAGAAAGGGAGCAAGGCAGAGUUUCUGCUGCUGUCUGCAGGACCCAUGGAGGGGUUCUAUGCACCAUUACUUCCAUUUGGGGACCCAUUGUUUUCCAUCACUUCAGCACAAUCUGGAAAACAUUCUCCAAGUCUAUUAUUCCUGUCUCCUGCUGCCACACUGAGGCAGUUGUUAACAAUGCCCUCUGCCCACCCCGGACCCCUCCUCCAUUUAAAUACCAGUCUGAUGGGCAAAGAGAGCAUUUAAUGACUGCUCCAGACUAAAAAGUUCCUAUUAUUUUAUUCCCUUCUUACUCCUGCCCAAUUUCCUUCCAGAUGGGGCAGGUGGGUAUAAAAUAUAUGGAGCUGGAAUUACAAUAGCAAGAAGACAGGUGGGGAAAUUGAAUGUGGUUGGAAAAUUUGUCCGUAUGCCUACAGGUGUGUCUUAUGAGAUCUUGCAGGCUACCACCACCCCCGCUACCCCAGCCUGGCCAUUCUCCAAAUGGUCUGGGAAUGGGGAAUAUGAGUGGCCAAGACUUCCCCUCCUGUUGGAGUGGUCUGAGUAUCCAGGCAGAAGGAAAGGAGAUAUUUAGCAAGGGGGCGCUUAGAAUGGCAGCCUUGAAGAGGUGCAGGCAGUGCUGACUUGACACUACCUUCACCAUCAGGUGUUGGGCCCCCAGUACGAUACCACAGAGUCUUUAUGCCUUCCUUCUGGAUUCUCUUCUUUCCUCUCCUUACUCAGAUGCCACCUCCAUUGGGAAGUCUUCCUUGAUUACCCCAGAGUUAGUUUCUCCGUCCUUUCUGCUCCUCUCUCUGCAUCCCUAUUAAAUGUGUUAUUGGUC